rnacentral:rRNA from 1 species
AUGCGGCAGGAAGAAGUGGCAUUUAGAAGUGUUGCUGACUUUACAUUUAGGUUUCGGCAUAACAAAGCUUGCACUGUCUUUUUGCACUUAGGUGCACAGCGUGCCGUUGGUAAUGAUUCUACUACGAUGCUGCAAAUUCACAAGCUGAUCCUAAGUAAUCGUUGUACAUUGGAUUCCUCUGGAAUUACUUCGUCAGGAUUGAAGAAUUGCAGCAAUUCUUCCUGA